CUGUAGGUGGAGGUAAAGAGGUAUGGGACUGUAGGUGGAGGUAAAGAGGUAUGGGACUGUAGGUGGAGGUAUAGAGGUAUGGGGCUGUAGGUGGAGGUAUAGUGGUAUGGGACUGUAGGUGGAGGUAUAGAGGUAUGGGACUGUAGGUGGAGGUAUAGAGGUAUGGGACUGUAGGUGGAGGUAUAGAGGUAUGGGACUGUAGGUGGAGGUAUAGAGGUAUGGGACUGUAGGUGGAGGUAUAGAGGUAUGGGACUGUAGGUGGAGGUAUAGAGGUAUGGGACUGUACGUGGAGGUAUAGAGGUAUGGGACUGUAGGUGGAGGUAUAGAGGUAUGGGACUGUAGGUGGAGGUAUAGAGGUAUGGGACUGUAGGUGGAGGUAUAGAGGUAUGGGACUGUAGGUGGAGGUAUAGAGGUAUGGGACUGUAGGUGGAGGUAUAGAGGUAUGGGACUGUAGGUGGAGGUAUAGAGGUAUGGGACUGUAGGUGGAGGUAUAGAGGUAUGGGACUGUAGGUGGAGGUAUAGAGGUAUGGGACUGUAGGUGGAGGUAAAGAGGUAUGGGACUGUAGGUGGAGGUAUAGAGGUAUGGGACUGUAGGUGGAGGUAUAGAGGUAUGGGACUGUAGGUGGAGGUAUAGAGGUAUGGGACUGUAGGUGGAGGUAUAGAGGUAUGGGACUGUAGGUGGAGGUAUAGAGGUAUGGGACUGUAGGUGGAGGUAAAGAGGUAUGGGACUGUAGGUGGAGGUAUAGAGGUAUGGGACUGUAGGUGGAGGUAUAGAGGUAUGGGACUGUAGGUGGAGGUAUAGAGGUAUGGGACUGUAGGUGGA
rnacentral:lncRNA from 1 species